UGAGGAAUAUUGCACAAUGGGCGCAAGCCUGAUGCAGCGACGCCGCGUGUGGGAUGAAGGGGCUACGCCUCGUAAACCACGGUAGCCCGGGACGAAAAACGCCUUAGAGGCGUUAGACGGUACCGGGAAAGUAAGGGUCGGCUAACUACGUGCCAGCAGCCGCGGUAAUACGUAGGACCCAAGCGUUGUCCGGAUUUACUGGGGGUAAAGGGUGCGCAGGCGGAUGGGUAAGUCAGGGGUGAAAGUCUGCAGGUUAACUGUAGAAUUGCCUUUAAUACUGCUCCUCUUGAGUGUGGGAGAAGGUGAUGGAAUUCCAGGUGUAGCAGUGAAAUGCGUAGAUAUCUGGAAGAACACCAGUGGCGAAGGCGGUCAACUGGCCCAUAACUGACGCUCAUGCACGAAAGCGUGUGGAGCAAACA
rnacentral:rRNA from 1 species